AUUAUAAAGAUCUAUUGCUAGAUCUAGAUCUAUAAGUUGAAAGAAUAAACUCCAUCGCCGAUCGUGAAAUUUCCAUUUUCAUACGACACGUACGAACUUAUACCAGCUUUUCUAGCAACUUCUCGACUUCUAUUCUAAAUUUAGACUCUAGAUCUAGUAACUGUACGGAAACUUCUAGUUAGGCUUUGGAAUGAUAUUUAAGCAGGCAUGAUUCGAGAAUUGUUAGAUAUCAUUAAAACUUUGGCAAAACAAUCGGUCGCUCAGAAUUCUAGUUUCUGAACUAGACUAGCUCUACACUGGACCACACUGAUAGUCUACUCUAGUCUAACACAUAGACUCUAAAUAGUCUUAACUCUAGCGCUAGCGACUAGUGACUCCAGUAGUAGUACUAGAUUGUCUAGAUCUAGAAUCUAUCUAGAUCUAUGUCCUAUGUAGUAUAAUAGUAGAAGUACUCGGAGUUCGUAUCUGUGUUUCUGUGGUAUUUUAUUUUAUAAUUUAUCGAAAGGGGAAUCAUUAAGUUGAUUAAUAAUUUAAGCAUUGAAAAAGCAAAAAUGUUUUUAAUUACACCACAGCUGAAUGAGGAAAUGCUGGAUUGGGCUGAUGAACUGAUUGAACCAUGGUGUAUUAAGGCAAUCAAACCUUCGUUUUUUCAGGAAAGAGAUUAUCCACUGACAAAAUUGGCAGCUAAAGUGAUGAAUCCUGAGAGAAAACUUAGAUCUGUUAAAAGACUUCACAGACCUCUUAGCUCAAGGCAGUGGAAUAAAAAGAAAUAUAACAGAGAUGUUUCUGAUGAUGAAACUAAUGUGAAACAACAUGAGUCAGAUAGACAGAAUUACCCAGAGCUGGUGAGUCAUUUUCAAAAUUUGAAGGCACUGACUCCAAGAGCAAGAAGCAAUGUCUGAAUAAUUAUGACCCUGACACCUUGAAUCCAAAAAUGGUACAGACUCCACAGCUCUGUUUCAAGUACAGACAACUGAUAAGGAGUUGAGAAUUCACUUGGAUCUCCAUCAGUACAGACCAGAGGAAGUUAAGAUAACAUCUGACAAUCAGAAAAUAACUAUUAAAGCUACGCAUGAAGAGAAGAAUGAUAACAGUUCUGUUUGUUAUGAAAUGACAAGAUCUUUUACAUUACCAGAGAAUGUUGACUUCAAAUCAGCCCUGUCAACAAUGAAUUCAGAUGGUCAGCUGAGUAUUACAAUAUCCAGAUCUAACAAAGAAACUUUGGAUGAAGUUCCAAUACAAGUUGAAUUUAAAGAAUGAGUGUGACAACUUCCUUCAAAUAACAACUUUCAUCUACAUUUUCAUACAUUGAAAGAAUUAACCUUCAUUUUCAUCGCUAUACUGUGUUCACAUUGUUAUUUUAUAAAAAUCUUCACUGCCAUUACUUUCUUUUAGUUUAUUUGUAAUCAUAAUUUUUUUAAUGUAAACCUGAUGUUUCAAUUAAUGUUAGUAUUAAUUGUACAGUGGCUGUAUUUAUUGUUGAAAAGUAUUUAUGACUGGGUUGUUUGUUUACAAUAUGUAAUGUUUUAUGCAUGUGAACACAAUUACUUUCUAAUAGUUACUUGAUGACUAUACUUGGUAAGUUUAGGUUAUAAGUUGACUACUAUUACUAACUAAAUGUUUAAACCUGCAGAACAAAAAGAGGUUUAAGAGCCUUUUAUCAAUUAAAGGUAUUGUUUUAGUAUUUGAGCAUUUUUUCUCUUUACAUGUUUCAUUGUCAUUAAUUGAAAUUUCUAUUGCAUAAUAAAUCUGUUUUUAUGUAUUAUUUACUUUGGUAAGCCCUUAUGAUUAGCAUUUGUUUAUUGACUAUCAAUGUAAUAUUGAAAGUUUGCUAAAUUCUUAUAUGAUAAAUUGGUUUUAAUAUUUCAACCUUGUUUCAUUCCAAGCUGAUGUUGAUUUAUGUAAAAUAA